rnacentral:rRNA from 1 species
UACGUAGGCAGCGAGCGUUGUUCGGAAUUACUGGGCGUAAAGAGUGUGUAGGCGGUGCUCUAAGUUCGGGGUGAAAUCUCCUGGCUUAACUGGGAGGGUGCGCCGGAAACUGGAGUGCUCGAACGUGGGAGAGGAAAGCGGAAUUCCUGGUGUAGCGGUGAAAUGCGUAGAUAUCAGGAGGAACACCUGCGGUGUAGACGGCUUUCUGGACCAUUGUUGACGCUGAGACACGAAAGCGUGGGUAGCAAACAGG